GACGAACCGUGCGAACGUUAUUCGGAAUCACUGGGCUUAAAGCGCGCGCAGGCGGGGCGGCACGUCGGUCGCUGAAAUCCCCCGGCUCAACCGGGGAACGGGCGCCGAAAACGACCGCCCUGGAGGGGCGUAGGGGGAUCGGGAACUUCCGGUGGAGCGGUGAAAUGCGUUGAGAUCGGAAGGAACGCCCGCGGCGAAAGCGCGGUCCUGGACGCCUGCUGACGCUGAGGCGCGAAAGCCAGGGGAGCGAACGGG
rnacentral:rRNA from 1 species